UUGGCAAUUGCUGAGAAAGUUGUGUAAUGGAGUCUACUCUUCAUUGCAUGGAUAAUGUUGAUCCAAAUCCCAGGAAAGCCCAUCUUUUUUCAACAAAUCAUGAGAAAACUAGCAAAUUCUUCCAUCUGGACUACACAAGAAGAGCAUUGCCCAUUGCCUCGGUGCUUGAUCUUGAGAACGUACUGAAAACAAUUGUACUAUGCCUUCUCAAUACAGGAAAUUUCAAUAACUGAAAAACAUACCUUUGUUGAAGAAUCCUUUGAUCUCUUCACAAAAGAUGCCGUACUCCUGUGGAAUCUACCACUUCACAUUCAAAGACCUCCUCCCCUUCAGCCCACCUUUCUGGGAUUUAUUGCAGGUCCACAUAUACA